UAGUCCACGCCCUAAACGAUGUGUGCUAGUUGUUGGGAGUUCAGCUCUCAGUGACGCAGCUAACGCGUUAAGCACACCGCCUGGGGAGUACGGCCGCAAGGUUAAAACUCAAAGAAAUUGACGGGGACCCGCACAAGCGGUGGAGCAUGUGGUUUAAUUCGAAGCAACGCGAAGAACCUUACCAACCCUUGACAUCCUGGUCGCGGAUUAGAGAGAUCUUUUCCUUCAGUUCGGCUGGACCAGUGACAGGUGCUGCACGGCUGUCGUCAGCUCGUGUCGUGAGAUGUUCGGUUAAGUCCGGCAACGAGCGCAACCCCUAUUUCCAGUUACCAUCAUUUAGUUGGGGACUCUGGCAAAACUGCCCGUGACAAGCGGGAGGAAGGUGGGGACGACGUCAAGUCAUCAUGGGCCUUACGGGGUUGGGGCUACGACACGUGCUACAAUGGGCGGUGACAAUGGGGCAGCAAGCUCGCGAGGGGCAAGGCUAAUCCCUAAAAAACCGUCUCAGUUCGGGAUUGGGACUCU
rnacentral:rRNA from 1 species